UGGGGAAUAUUGGACAAUGGGCGAAAGCCUGAUCCAGCCAUGCCGCGUGUGUGAAGAAGGUCUUCGGAUUGUAAAGCACUUUAAGUUGGGAGGAAGGGCAGUAAGCGAAUACCUUGCUGUUUUGACGUUACCGACAGAAUAAGCACCGGCUAACUCUGUGCCAGCAGCCGCGGUAAUACAGAGGGUGCAAGCGUUAAUCGGAAUUACUGGGCGUAAAGCGCGCGUAGGUGGUUCGUUAAGUUGAAUGUGAAAGCCCCGGGCUCAACCUGGGAACUGCAUCCAAAACUGGCGAGCUAGAGUAGGGCAGAGGGUGGUGGAAAUUCCUGUGUAGCGGUGAAAAGCGUAGAGAUAGGAAGGAGGACCAGUGGAGAAGGCGACCACCUGGGUUCAUACUGACACUGAGGUGCGAAAGCGUUGGGAGCAAACAGG
rnacentral:rRNA from 1 species